AUGGAGGGGAGCCAUGGUGAGGAACGAGCUGGGCAGAGCCUGAUGCUGCGAGCGAGCGCGGCAUGGCGGCUGCGACUGCGAGCUAGAUCAGGGCCGCUCGCUGGAGCUCACCGCGUCUAUCUCAGGAAUCGCGUGUGCGUGGGGAUUUUUUUGAAUUGGCUGCGACGCGAGGAAGACGAGGCCACGCGCGGCGUUCUAUUGUGUGAGAGCGACGCAGUCUAG
rnacentral:rRNA from 1 species